GUACUUUUGUAAAGACAUCCGGUAAAAUUGAAACAAUAAAGAGAAGAUUAGCAUGAUUCAUGCAUAAAAAUGAUACGCACAAGUUGAAAAGGUCCAAAUUUUA